rnacentral:rRNA from 1 species
CGGGAUGAGCUCAAAUUUGAAAUCUGGCGUCUUUCAGGCGUCCGAGUUGUAAUCUAUAGAGGCGUUUUCCGCGCCGGACCGCGUCCAAGUCUCUUGGAAUAGAGUAUCAAAGAGGGUGACAAUCCCGUACUUGACGCGACAACCGGUGCUCUGUGAUACGUUCUCAAUGAGUCGAGUUGUUUGGGAAUGCAGCUCUAAAUGGGUGGUAAAUUCCAUCUAAGGCUAAAUAUUGGCGAGAGACCGAUAGCGAACAAGUACCGUGAGGGAAAGAUGAAAAGCACUUUGGAAAGAGAGUUAAACAGCACGUGAAAUUGUUAAAAGGGAAACGAUUGAAGUCAGUCGUGUGGGAAGUAUUCAGCCGUCUCUGGCGGUGUAUUUGCUUCUCACGGGUCAACAUCAGUUUGAUCCGGUAGAAAAAGGCGGGAAGAAGGUGGCACCCUCGGGUGUGUUAUAGCUUCCUGUCAUAUGUGCCGGACCAGACUGAGGAACGCAGCUUGCAGCAAUGCCGGGGUUCGCCCACGUACAAGCUUAGGAUGUUGACAUAAUGGCUUUAAACGACCCGUCU